CUUGUGCUUUUGGAGCGGCCGAUGCCUGAUUAGCUAGUUGGUAAGGUAAAGGCUUACCAAGGCUUCGAUCAGUAGUUGGUCUGAGAGGACGACCAGCCACACUGGGACUGAGACACGGCCCAGACUCCUACGGGAGGCAGCAGUGGGGAACUUUGGACAAUGGGGGAAACCCUGAUCCAGCCAUGCCGCGUGAGUGAAGAAGGCCUUCGGGUUGUAAAGCUCUUUCAGUUGAGAAGAAAAGAUUACGACUAAUAAUCGUGAUUCAUGACGGUAUCAACAGAAGAAGCACCGGCUAACUACGUGCCAGCAGCCGCGGUAAUACGUAGGGUGCGAGCGUUAAUCGGAAUUACUGGGCGUAAAGGGUGCGCAGGCGGUCUUGUAAGUCAGAUGUGAAAUCCCCGGGCUUAACCUGGGAACUGCGUUUGAAACUACAAGGCUAGACUCCGAUCCCCUACUUUCCUCCA
rnacentral:rRNA from 1 species